rnacentral:rRNA from 1 species
CCUUACCUACGGGGGCAGCAGUGGGGAAUAUUGCACAAUGGGGGGAACCCUGAUGCAGCGACGCCGCGUGAGUGAAGAAGUAUUUCGGUAUGUAAAGCUCUGUCAGCAGGGAAGAAGAAAGACGGUACCUGACCAAGAAGCCCCGGCUAACUACGUGCCAGCAGCCGCGGUAAUACGUAGGGGGCAAGCGUUAUCCGGAUUUACUGGGGGUAAAGGGAGCGUAGACGGCAGGGCAAGGCGGGAGUGAAGUGCAGGGGCCCA